AGAGCGAACGCUGGCGGCAGGCCUAACACAUGCAAGUCGAGCGCGUGUAGCAAUACACGAGCGGCAGACGGGAGAGUAACACGUGGGAACGCGCCCUUCGGUUCGGAAUAACUCAGGGAAACUUGAGCUAAUACCGGAUACGCCCUUACGGGGGAAAGAUUUAUUGCCGAAGGAACGGCCCGCGUCCGAUUAGCUAGUUGGUGAGGUAACGGCUCACCAAGGCGACGAUCGGUAGCUGGUCUGAGAGGAUGACCAGCCUCACUGGGACUGAGACACGGCCCAGACUCCUACGGGAGGCAGCAGUGGGGAAUAUUGGACAAUGGGCGCAAGCCUGAUCCAGCCAUGCCGCGUGGAUGAUGAAGGCCUUAGGGUUGUAAAGUCCUUUUAACGGGGAAGAUAGUGACGGUACCCGUAGAAUAAGCCCCGGCUAACUUCGUGCCAGCAGCCGC
rnacentral:rRNA from 1 species